GCCUCCUUAGCUCAGCUGGUAGAGCAGCUGAUUUGUAAUCAGCAGGUCGUCGGUUCGAACCCGGCAGGGGGCU
rnacentral:tRNA from 1 species